AAAGGGAUAAAAUGGGGAAUGAAUAUGUCAAAGAAAAAGAAAAUUGAAAAACAAGGACGAUGAAAGCCUUGCAUAAACCGAACAGGUUAUGUGAAUAAGAGCGCCGGUAGAGACGGAGACUGUGUAUGUGUGUUCUGUUAGUGAUUAAGAGGCCGAUUCGCAGACUUAACCGGAAAACUGAACCUAGCAGGAGAUCUCGGUCUUCGUUUCUCUCAUCUCAAGCAUCAAAAGUAAGAAUCUGUACUCGAGCGGAUUUGAUUUCUAUAGCAGUAUGUUUAUUUUGCUUUUCAUAUGUACUGUGUAAUCCAACUUCUGUUUCCUUGUAUAUUUAGCAGCUGUUCAUGAUCAUUUUUAUUCUUGAUCUGGUUAUUUCUAUGCGUUGAUGAGCUGCUGGGCCAGUCCCAAUUUUCAUGGUUGUCUUCAAUUUGAAUUGCCGGGUCACUUAACUUUCAUGAUUGUUCGAGAUGAGAUCUUGAGUUUU
rnacentral:misc_RNA from 1 species